UACGUAGGGGGCAAGCGUUGUCCGGAAUUACUGGGCGUAAAGCGCGUGUAGGCGGGACGACAAGUCCGGCGUGAAAGGCUCGGGCUCAACCCGGAGACGGCCGUUGGAAACUGUCGUUCUUGAGGGUCGAAGAGGAGAGUGGAAUUCCUGGUGUAGCGGUGAAAUGCGUAGAGAUCAGAAGGAACACCCAUGGCGAAGGCAGGUCUCUGGGCCACUACUGACGCUGAGGUGCGAAAGCGUGGGGGAGCAAACAGG
rnacentral:rRNA from 1 species